UCCCUCUUGGCUCGGUUGGUAGAGCGCGUCACUAGUAUUAUGCUAUUUGCCAUUUUCACGACGAGGUCAGUCGUUCAAGUCGACUAGAGGGAA
rnacentral:tRNA from 1 species